UGUGGAAGCAGUGGCCAUGACCGUCACGGCUCUUCUUCAACACUAGCAACUCCUCCGAUUUGCAUGUUAUUUGAUUUCAUUAUGAAGCUGCCAAAUGCUAAUGUUGAGAAGAUAUUGACCAAAUACAAGAUAAGAACUAAGAAAAGUGAAUGAAAUUUUCAGUGAGAAGGUUGUUGGUAGGACAUGCUUACAUACAAAGAAAGAAGUCAGUCCCUGCACUUUUUCUAAUCCAGACCUCAUGCAGCUCCAUGUUUUCAGGACUUUUCUCGCGUGAUGAGCACAACUCUAAAGAAGGCCGAUGUGUUCUUCGACUAGUCCAUUUGAGCUCUUCUGUAGCACCAGUUAGGGGUUCCUUGCCUCUGGGUCGCUUGUGUUGUUUGUCUUUUUUAUGUGUGCUUAUUGAGUGUUUCUCCACUUCAUGUGGACACGUUUGUGUCUUUUGUGGGUCUCUUGUUGUAUCGUGGGUGUUUGUGGAUUUUGUGAAUCACUUCAUGUGGUUAUUUUUUUAUUUUUUUUUUCUGUCUAUUUUAAUUGUCUGU